rnacentral:lncRNA from 1 species
CCUGGACUGUCGGAUUACCCCCCUUGUGUACCAGACCGGAUUGGCUGAGGACCCGAGUGUGAGGUGUACCCCUGGAAAACGGAACGGACAAUAAGAACGGCUUGUGGACUGUGAGAUUGACUUCAGGUGUCCCUGGUGUUGAAUUUCCACCACAAUCUGGCGUCACGGACUGGAUCAGUGAUUCCACCUGUGGAGCAUCCCAGUGAAGGUCUGCGAGGGAGACACCGGUGCCGCAUUCCCUAGGGGGAAAGUGUAAAGGAAAUUCCUGUCUGAUCAAAGUCGACGUAGACCCGCCCAGACUAGACUUUUACUGAGAGCUGCCCGGUGGAAGAUACCUGAUCUGUGAACCUCUGAGAGACACAUCUACUGAAUUUCAUGAAAGCGUCUUUGCCGAACUUGGCAGGUGGAGCUGAGCACUGUUUGAGCCCAGCUGAUUUCGUGGAAGUCAAAGACUUCAGGAGAAAGAGUUGGAAGGACCCCCAUUGGAGAGGCUUGCACCAAGUUCUUCUGACCACCCCCACCGCGGUGAAGGUGGCUGAGAGAGAUACCUGGAUCCACGUGUUGCACUGCAGACGAGUUCCUGAUCCAGGAGAAGAUGGGGCUUUGCCAAUUCCAGUGGUGUAGUGUGGCCCUCCUCUGCAUUAGCACAAGAGUUCUAAUUAGAACAGCAGGUCGUCCUCUUGUUGGAAACCUGACAGAGGGUGAGAUAAGUCCCGAGCCAAAGGGGCCAACGCCGGUCCAGAGUAGUGGUCCAGAAGUAGAUGAUCAUCGGAGAAGGAGAGCCCUACCGGGCCCUCAUAACCAUGAGGACAAUCUGUUCCUCUCUAGAGCAGAAAUGGUUGCUAAUCUUACAUCUGGACAAAAAGAGUGUUGGGUGUGUGGGUUGGGGCCAGUUAAGGUAGGAGCAGGUUUACUACUUGUGGGAGUUUUCUUAUGGGUAAAUCUGACUAUACAAAUGGACUUAACGUUCCUGGAAGAAAUGCUACGUGACCCUGACCCCAUGACGUUUUCUGCAUUAUAUAACCACAUAGGCCCACCAUCGUUUGCUAGGCCAGAUAAUACUUUACUCCCUCCCAUCUCAGUAGCAGGAGUGAUGACGGCACCUUGGUGUAUUAGAGGAGAAGGAAGUAAUAAUUUGUACAAUUACAUUGUAGUUCACCCAAUGUAUUACAACGGGUCCAAUACCUGUAAGUUAACUUAACAAUGCCGACCCUGGGGAACCUGGUAAUGUUACUUAUGGUAUUUCAGUCUAUAAUGUUCUUAUCCCUUCAAGAGGAGGCCCAAAUGGCACCUAUUGGUUGUGUGGAAAAAUGGCCUGCCCCUGAACUGGGGAGGUAGUUGUACUGUUGGGUUUGUGGUAACAGCUAUGAGAACCGUUCCAAACAAUGAUAAGAGUCUGAAGGCUCUGUUUAGAGACUACAAACCUUCUGGAAUGAGGAGAGAUAAGAAGUCUCUGGCUGACAUCAUUCACACCAGGUUCUUUGGUGUGUUUAUUUUCCGGGGUUUGGAGUUGCAUGUGCCCUAGAUCAAAUUUGUGAUAUCUCUAAACACAUGGAGGAAAUUGGCAAUGCUACUCGAAAUGCCCUGGAACAAUUGAAUGAUGCGUAAAUUGGCUCUGCAAAACAGAGAGGCUCUUGACUAUAUUUUGGCAGGUCAAGGGGCACUUGUACAAUAAUUGGAGAUGAAUGUUGCACUUUUGUCCCAGAUCGGUACUCUGUCAACGAUCUCGCUGAGUACAUUGCCACUGUGGCUAAGAACAAUUCCCCACAGCCCGAGUGGAUGCUUGCAACUUGGUUGAAAUCUAUGUUUGGGAGUUGGGGAUCCCAGAUUGCACAAUGGGCUGGAGGAUGUGUUUUUUGCUUAGUCUGUCUAAUUGUAUUACUAACAUGUUGUAAGGUUAUUUGUGGUUUCGCACACCAUUAUGUUUAAUGCUCCCCAAGAGGAUGGUGAGACUGAUGAGCUGCCGACACUGGAUGAGCUUCCUUUCCCCCUGUAGAUAAGGACGAUGUGUGAGAAUUGGGGGUUGUUUAUGUUUGACAUGUUUAGAAGGCCCAAGCGGAUUUUUUUUAUGUUUUGACUAGUCUCAGGAACAGUUGGUGCAGAACAGAUGUUGCUGCAACCCGAUGGUGGUAAGAAUUAUGUAAACAAUGCUUAAACAUUGAGAUAUUUAAUCAACCCUGAGUUUACAGAUUCCUUGUAUGUGUGCAUUUUAGAUUGUAAAACCCAGAGUAAAGGGCUUGUAAGGAUGGAGUGUCUGGUGCAACGUGUUGAUUUAAUUUACUUUAAUAUAAAUAUUUUGAUAGAACCUCCUUUGAUAGAAGCAAUAAUCUGAUGCUUACAUUAACAUUUAACAAUAAUUAUCAGAGUGAUAAAAGGAGGGAAUGUGAGGGCAAUGUUCUGUUUACGUAUCAAAUCAAUUCCAAAGUAUCGAAUCAAUGCUACUUUCUAAUAACUAAUUAGAAAGGUUCAUGCAGGUGACUGACUGAUCGUGUAUGGAGGAAUCAUCACUAUCGCUGUUUCUCAACUUGGCAGUACGCCCAGAAUAUCCGUUUCAAGGUCUCAACUUGGUGAGAGAGGGCCUCGUGAAGUAUUGGUCAGUCGCAUGUGCGAGGCACCGGUAGUGAUGAAUUAAUUAUGCUAAAUCAUGCA